rnacentral:rRNA from 1 species
GACGGAGGGUGCAAACGUUGUUCGGAAUUACUGGGCGUAAAGCGCGUGUAGGCGGGCGCACAAGUCAGGGGUGAAAGCCCACGGCUCAACCGUGGAAGGGCCUUUGAUACUGUGUGUCUGGAGGGAGGUAGGGGCGUGCGGAACUUCCGGUGGAGCGGUGAAAUGCGUAGAUAUCGGAAGGAACACCGGUGGCGAAAGCGGCGCGCUGGACCUCUUCUGACGCUGAGGCGCGAAAGCCAGGGGAGCAAACGGG